CAUCCCGAAGGGGGAAGAGUUAGCUUGUUGUGCGGUUAACGUGUCAGAGUUAUCGUUAAAGCAGGCUAGAGGCGACAUGCUAUUCAAUUCCUUUAUAUCUGGUUUGGUCCAUUUUAAUUCAAUUUACACAUAGAUAAAAAAAUCUAUUUAAGUACAGUAGAGGGGCAAGCUCUCUAUGGUAAAUUAUAAAAUAAGCUUACAGGGGGUUUAGUAAUUUUCAUUGCCUAUAAUAAAAUUUUAUUAAUUUAAAGAAGGCCAAAUUAAAAAUUUUUACAAUUAAAUAAUAAUAAAUAUACUAGUAACUAACAAUUAAAAGUGACAGAUAAAUUUAAUAUAGGUUUGAUCUAAUAAUAAGGGUUUAAAGAACUCGGCAUUACUAAUUUCGCAUGUUUAACAAAAACAUCUCUUGAUAUUUCUCAAGUAACCUCUGCCCUAUGAAUAGUUUAAAUGGCCGCAGUACUUUGACUGUGCAAAGGUAGCAUAAUCACUUGCCCUUUAAUUGGGGGCUGGAAUGAAGGAGGCGACGAAACUUAGGCUAUUUGGCUGAAGGGUGAAAUUAACAUAAAGGUCAAAAGGCCUUUAUACACCAAAGGGACGAUAAGACCCUAUAAAACUUUACUAUAAAAUAGGUUUUUUAGGCGCGAUUUAAGUUAUAGUUUAACUGGGGCGGUUUAUAUAUAAACAAUUGAAAUGUAAAUAUUUUAAAUAAGUGUAGAGAGCUCUUGUAAGAAAUGAACAAGUUACUUUAGGGAUAACAGCAUAAUUCUCCCAGAGAGUCCUAAUUGGCGGGAGAGCUUAUGACCUCGAUGUUGAAUUGGGAGGUCUAGUGUAAGUAGAAAUAUAUUAAGAUAGUCUGUUCGACUAUUAAACUCCCACAUGAUUUGAGUUCAGACCGGCGCGAGCCAGGUUGGUUUCUAUCUUUUGGGGAGUGAAGAUCUAAAUUGUACGAAAGGACCUUUA
rnacentral:rRNA from 1 species